rnacentral:rRNA from 1 species
UGAGUACGAGAUGCUACGGCAUCGAAGCAGUCUAUGUCAUACUUCCAAGAAAAGCUUGCAAUGUCAUAAACAAAUAAUGCCUGUACCAUAACCGACACAGGUGGGUAGGUAGAGUAUACUAAGGGGCGCGAGAUAACUCUCUCUAAGGAACUCGGCAAAAUGACUCCGUAACUUCGGGAGAAGGAGUGCCUUAUUUUUAUAAGGUUGCAAUAACAAGAUCCAAGCAACUGUUUACCAAAAACACAGGUCUCCGCUAAGUCGUAAGACGAUGUAUGGGGGCUGACGCCUGCCCAGUGCCAGAAGGUUAAAGAAGUUGGUUAGCAUUAGCGAAGCUGAUAACUGAAGCCCUGGUGAACGGCGGCCGUAACCAUAACGGUCCUAAGGUAGCGAAAUUCCUUGUCGGGUAAGUUCCGACCCGCACGAAAGGCGUAAUGAUUUGGAUACUGUCUCGGAGAGGGGCUCGGUGAAAUAGACUUGUCUGUGAAGAUGCGGACUACCUGCACCUGGACAGAAAGACCCUAUGAAGCUUUACUGUAACUUGAGAUUGAAAUUGGACUUUAUCUGCGCAGUAUAGGUGGGAGACGUUGAAAAUAUUCUUGCGGGAAUAUUGGAGUCAUCAGUGAGAUACCACUCUUAUAAUGUUAGAUUUCUAACUUUGUAUCAUUAUCUGGUCAAAGAACAGUUUCAGGCGGGCAGUUUGACUGGGGCGGUCGCCUCCCAAACGGUAACGGAGGCGCACAAAGGUUUCCUCUGAACGUGUAGAAAUCGUAUCUAGAGUGUAAAGGCAUAAGGAAGCUUGACUGUGAGACCUACAAGUCGAGCAGGGACGAAAGUCGGUCUUAGUGAUCUGACGGUGCUGAGUGGAAAGGCCGUCACUCAACGGAUAAAAGUUACUCUAAGGAUAACAGGCUGAUCUCCCCCAAGAGUUCACAUCGACGGGGAGGUUUGGCACCUCGAUGUCGGCUCAUCGCAUCCUGGGGCGGUAGUACGUCCCAAGGGUUGGGCUGUUCGCCCAUGAAAGCGGUACGCGAGCUGGGUUCAGAACGUCGUGAGACAGUUCGGUCCAUAUCCGGUGUAGGCGUUAGAAUAUUGAGAGGAGCCUUCUUUAGUACGAGAGGACCGAGAAGGACAUACCUCUGGUGUACCAGUUAUCGUGCCAACGGUAAACGCUGGGUAGCCAUGUAUGGAGAGGAUAACCGCUGAGAGCAUCUAAGUGGGAAGCCCACCUCAAGAUAAG